rnacentral:rRNA from 1 species
UCCUACGGGGGGCAGCAGUGGGGGAUAUUGCACAAUGGGGGGAACCCUGAUGCAGCGACGCUGCGUGGGCGAUGGAGCGCCUCGGCGCGUAAAGCCCUAUCAGCAGGGAAGAAGAUGACGGUACCUGACUAAGAAGCCCCGGCUAAAUACGUGCCAGCAGCCGCGGUAAUACGUAGGGGGCAAGCGUUAUCCGGAUUUACUGGGUGUAAAGGGAGCGUAGACGGCUGUGCAAGUCUGAAGUGAAAUGCCGGGGCCCAACCCCGGAACUGCUUUGGAAACUGUACAGCUAGAGUGCAGGAGGGGGG